UACGUAGGGGGCAAGCGUUGUUCGGAUUUAUUGGGCUUAAAGGGUGCGUAGGCGGCCCUGUAAGUCAGUGCUGAAAUAUCCCGGCUUAACCGGGAGGGUGGCAUUGAUACUGCGGGGCUAGAGUACAGAUGAGGUAGGCGGAAUUGACGGUGUAGCGGUGAAAUGCUUAGAUAUCGUCAAGAACACCUAUAGCGAAGGCAGCUUACUGGGCUGUAACUGACGCUGAGGCACGAAAGUGUGGGGAUCAAACAGG
rnacentral:rRNA from 1 species